UACGUAGGGGGCAAGCGUUGUCCGGAUUUAUUGGGCGUAAAGAGCGUGUAGGCGGCCUGACGGGUCUGCUGUGAAAACUCGAGGCUCAACCUCGAGAUGUCGGCGGAAGCCGUCUGGCUAGAGUCCGGAAGAGGAGAGUGGAAUUCCUGGUGUAGCGGUGAAAUGCGCAGAUAUCAGGAAGAACACCUAUGGCGAAGGCAGCUCUCUGGGACGGUACUGACGCUGAGACGCGAAAGCGUGGGGAGCGAACAGG
rnacentral:rRNA from 1 species